rnacentral:rRNA from 2 species
GUUGGGUAGGGGAGCGUUCUGUAAGCCUGUGAAGGUGUGUCGUGAGGCAUGCUGGAGGUAUCAGAAGUGCGAAUGCUGACAUAAGUAACGAUAAAGCGGGUGAAAAGCCCGCUCGCCGGAAGACCAAGGGUUCCUGUCCAACGUUAAUCGGGGCAGGGUGAGUCGACCCCUAAGGCGAGGCCGAAAGGCGUAGUCGAUGGGAAACGGGUUAAUAUUCCCGUACUUGGUGUUACUGCGAAGGGGGGACGGAGAAGGCUAUGUUGGCCGGGCGACGGUUGUCCCGGUUUAAGCGUGUAGGUGUGUGUUCCAGGUAAAUCCGGUUCACUUUAACACUGAGGCGUGACGACGAGGCACUACGGUGCUGAAGCAACAAAUGCCCUGCUUCCAGGAAAAGCCUCUAAGCAUCAGGUAACAUCAAAUCGUACCCCAAACCGACACAGGUGGUCAGGUAGAGAAUACCAAGGCGCUUGAGAGAACUCGGGUGAAGGAACUAGGCAAAAUGGUGCCGUAACUUCGGGAGAAGGCACGCUGACACGUAGGUGAAGUGAUUUACUCAUGGAGCUGAAGUCAGUCGAAGAUACCAGCUGGCUGCAACUGUUUAUUAAAAACACAGCACUGUGCAAACAC